CUCCUACGGGAGGCAGCAGUGAGGAAUAUUGGUCAAUGGACGCAAGUCUGAACCAGCCAUGCCGCGUGAAGGAUGAAGGCCUUCUGGGUUGUAAACUUCUUUACCUGGUAAGAAACUCUUUUUCUAAGUAGAGUUGACGGUACCAGACGGAAUAAGCACCGGCUAACUCCGUGCCAGCAGCCGCGGUAAUAC
rnacentral:rRNA from 1 species